rnacentral:tRNA from 1 species
GGGGUUGUGGCUCAGUGGUAGAAUGCUUACCUCACACGUGUGAGGCACUGGGUUCAAUUUUCAGCACCUCA